UACGAGGGGGGCAAGCGUUGUUCGGAAUUAUUGGGCGUAAAGGGCGUGUAGGCGGUGCGGUAAGUCACCUGUGAAACCUCUAGGCUUAACCUAGAGCCUGCAGGCGAAACUGCCGUGCUUGAGGGUGGGAGAGGUGCGUGGAAUUCCCGGUGUAGCGGUGAAAUGCGUUGAUAUCCGCAGGAACUCCGGUGGCGAAGGCGGCGUGCUGGACCUCUUCUGACGCUGAGGCGCGAAAGCCAGGGGAGCGAACGGG
rnacentral:rRNA from 1 species